GCCUCGGUAGCUCAGCCUGGCUAGAGUUAUAACAUAAUGGUUAAAGCGCUUCCUUGGUAAGGAAGAGGUCGCGGGCCCGAAUCCCGCCCGAGGCU
rnacentral:tRNA from 1 species